AGAGUUUGAUCCUGGCUCAGAUUGAACGCUGGCGGCAUGCCUUUACACAUGCAAGUCGAACGGCAGCACGGGAGCAAUCCUGGUGGCGAGUGGCGAACGGGUGAGUAAUAUAUCGGAACGUGCCCAGUCGUGGGGGAUAACGCAGCGAAAGCUGUGCUAAUACCGCAUACGAUCUACGGAUGAAAGCGGGGGAUCGCAAGACCUCGCGCGAUUGGAGCGGCCGAUAUCAGAUUAGCUAGUUGGUGGGGUAAAAGCCCACCAAGGCGACGAUCUGUAGCUGGUCUGAGAGGACGACCAGCCACACUGGAACUGAGACACGGUCCAGACUCCUACGGGAGGCAGCAGUGGGGAAUUUUGGACAAUGGGCGAAAGCCUGAUCCAGCAAUGCCGCGUGCAGGACGAAAGGCCUUCGGGUUGUAAACUGCUUUUGUACGGAACGAAACGGUCUCCUCUAAUAAAGGGGGCUAAUGACGGUACCGUAAGAAUAAGCACCGGCUAACUACGUGCCAGCAGCCGCGGUAAUACGUAGGGUGCGAGCGUUAAUCGGAAUUACUGGGCGUAAAGCGUGCGCAGGCGGUUAUAUAAGACAGAUGUGAAAUCCCCGGGCUCAACCUGGGACCUGCAUUUGUGACUGUAUAGCUAGAGUACGGUAGAGGGGGAUGGAAUUCCGCGUGUAGCAGUGAAAUGCGUAGAUAUGCGGAGGAACACCGAUGGCGAAGGCAAUCCCCUGGACCUGUACUGACGCUCAUGCACGAAAGCGUGGGGAGCAAACAGGAUUAGAUACCCUGGUAGUCCACGCCCUAAACGAUGUCAACUGGUUGUUGGGUCUUCACUGACUCAGUAACGAAGCUAACGCGUGAAGUUGACCGCCUGGGGAGUACGGCCGCAAGGUUG
rnacentral:rRNA from 1 species